CGUGGCUAACUCACCCUAAAACCUAAUGUUGCCCUUUUAAAUGCCGAGGCAGUUUACUCACCCUAAAACCUAAUGUUGCCCUUUUAAAUGCCGAGGCAGUUUACAUAAACAUGUAUUACCGCUGCGUUAGAUUAUGAACAGGCUAUCCAUGUGCUGUUUAAUUUCACACCAAGGGUAGUAGAUAGUUUGACUGUCGUAGGUUUAUUUUGGCGGCCAUUUUGUAGGGGGAAUGCAACUCAAACAGGCGGGAACGAGCUUCGUGUCGAGGGCGCGCUUUUCGUGUAGACCCUGGUCUAAGCGAUAGCUAAAGCUGUCUGUGGUGUGAUCGAGAUUAACGGGCAGAGAGGGGGGGUCCCUUGCGAAUGCACAUCGCUAGUUAUAGCGGUGCAACAAGUACCCCAAUUUUAUUUUAAUCGUUUAUUUUUUAUUUAAACAAUACUCACCCCCCCCGUUCACCACAACAUGCAACACGUAGUUGGAUAUUAGUACUAACAGUUACAGUGAAAGCUAGCUAGUUAGUUAGCCAGCUAACGUUAGCUAGCCUCCCAGACUCAGCAGCUACGAUAAACCCAACGUUACCCGUUUGCUAACGUUACAUGGUUUCUUAAGUGAAACAGCGGCCACGAAAGAAUCAACGGGGAGAUAAUGUAUAUUUUGGAUGACAAUCUAGCCAUCGCCAUGCUACCCAAGCGGUACCACAUCUGUUACCUGUGAACUGCUCAAUUAACUAGCUUGCGCUGCGCUGGGCGGACCGCGCCGAACCUCCGGUUUCAUCCUGCGCUCUUGCUGGACUGCGUUUUGGAGACUAAACUCACUGAAGACCCGAGUUUUGACGGGGAUUUAUUGCAAAAAACGGGACUACCCUCUCGUUAUUAGGAUAUCUCACCCAUCAGAGGGGUGACAGUUUGGGGGUGGGGGGGAUUGGUUUACCGGUUCUUAUUCUGCCCGGUACCUGUGGUGGAGGCUAGGACGGAGGGAGAGAGGGAAUACUGAUAAUGGCUGCUCCGGGAAGCUGGAAACGAACCGCCGCCUGAGUGAGCGGCUGCUCUCCUUGGUGCUGCUUUUUUCCUCGGCAGCCUGCUGACCUGCUUAACUCAGCUGAGAGGGAGCUGAUGGAGGAGACAGAGACACUGAAAAGCAAGGUUCACAUAUUGCUCUUCUACUCUUACAGUACAUUCGGAAAGUAUUCAGACCACAUUUUGUGCAGCGACGCUCCCCAUCAAC